rnacentral:rRNA from 1 species
UGGGGAAUUUUGGACAAUGGGCGAAAGCCUGAUCCAGCAAUGCCGCGUGUGUGAAGAAGGCCUUCGGGUUGUAAAGCACUUUUGUCCGGAAAGAAAUCCUUGGCUCUAAUACAGUCGGGGGAUGACGGUACCGGAAGAAUAAGCACCGGCUAACUACGUGCCAGCAGCCGCGGUAAUACGUAGGGUGCAAGCGUUAAUCGGAAUUACUGGGCGUAAAGCGUGCGCAGGCGGUUUGCUAAGACCGAUGUGAAAUCCCCGGGCUCAACCUGGGAACUGCAUUGGUGACUGGCAGGCUAGAGUAUGGCAGAGGGGGGUAGAAUUCCACGUGUAGCAGUGAAAAUGCGUAGAGAUGUGGAGGAAUACCGAUGGCGAAGGCAGCCCCCUGGGCCAAUACUGACGCUCAUGCACGAAAAGCGUGGGGAGCAAACAGGAUUAGAUACCCUGGUAGUCCACGCCCUAAAACGAUGUCAACUAGUUGUUGGGGAUUCAUUUCCUUAGUAACGUAGCUAACGCGUGAAGUUGACCGCCUGGGGAGUACGGUCGCAAAGAUUAAAAACUCAAAGGAAUUGACGGGGGCAUAGCGUUUCCU